UCUGUCCAAUGUAACAAAAUCAUUUUUGGAGAGUGGACUUUUGAGUUGAAUGGGUUUUGUUUCUUCUAUCGUUUGGCUUGUUAAGUAAUUUCAGGUGGCUUUGAAGGAUGAAUUGCUUAGGCAGACGUGUGGAUACACUUCAAUGAAUACCUUACAAAUUGAGCGAAAUACAUCCUAAAAAAAGCCGAUUAAAAUUGCCAUUGACUUUACAUACAUCACAUAAUAACAUCCCUCCGGCCACCACUUCACUACCGACCCAACAUCCCCGCCGGACCGGCUACGUUAGCACCAGCCGCCGGACGACACCGUUAUCAAAUUUCAUUCAAUACCCUAAAUUCCAAAUCACACAGAGAAACAUAAAUCAAAUUUCUUUUUUCUUCCCCCUUCUCAAUUUCAAAUUUUCUCCAGCUUCUCUGCCUUCACCACAGGAUUGGCCUUAGCAAUCUGCUCUUUGCCCAUAGCCUUAAAAUCAAAGGUGCAAGCAUGCUGCUCCGGGUACCUGUGCGUCCCGCAGAACAUCAUCCCACACCUGCACUUAAAUCCCGUAAGCCCCACGCGCUUCCUGCACGUCAAGCACCUGUUUGGCCGCACCGCAGGUGUCUCCUUCUUAUCAUCCACGGCCGCCGCCGAAGCAGGCUGACUGCUGCUGAUCUCAGGCAGAUCAACGGCCACCGGAGACGAAACAGAAACUGAUGCAGUCGACGAUGAGGACGAGGAUGGUGAUGACGGCGAGGAGGUGGAAGCUAGGGUUUGAUUCAAGACGAGCUUGGCGUUGGAGGAUUGCUGCUCUUUGAGUUGGAGAUCGCAGUAACAUUUGGAGCAGAGGUUUUGGGUGGCCGGACUCCCCAAGAAUCCGCAGUUGUUGGUGCACAGACGCUGUGCCUGACAUCUAUGCUCUUCCGCCAUUUCUAUCGCUUCAAAUUCCUUCCAAAACUGGCCCAAAAAAUCACAAAAUUAGCUUAAAAAAUACAGAAUUUUGAACAAAAUUCAUCACAACAGAAAUAAAUAGAUGGGUAAAAAAAAUCAAAAUUUUACCUGAUUUGAGAUAUGCUGAUUAAGGGGAUUGCUGGGUGUUUGUGUGUUGUGAAGGUGAGAGAGAGAAAAUUAAAUAAAAGAAAAGAAAACGACAGGAAUCCGUGGUUUUUGAAUUGGGUUGAGAAAGAAAGAAAAAAUGAUGGGAAAUGGAAUCAAAUUAAACAGAAACCCAAAAGAAAAGCACCUCCACAAAGCAUAAAUAUAAAGAGAAGGAGAAGAGGAGGGCGAUUCCUGACUGGUUAUUUGGACCUUUGCCUGAAGAUUCCACACACCUUCCCUCUUUCUCUUUCUCUCUCUUUUUAAAAUUUCCCU
rnacentral:misc_RNA from 1 species